GGGGUAGAUUCGGUUUCGACAUGUAUCACUAUAUAUGACUGCAGGUAGUUGGCAAACUUAAAAUGCACAAAAAAAUAAAUGACGAACCUAAAUUUGGUUUCGCUCCUGCUUUUGCCUAACACUUAAGCAAAAAGGAGCCCUUCAUAAUUCUUUUACUUAUAGGAGUAUUUUGAAGGUUAAUUUAUAUAAGUUAUAGAUAUAAUAUUGUUUAAGUGUUAUAUCCGAAUAAUUAUUAAACUUACUAUUUAAAAGGUACGUAUUAGCCAUAUUAAAUAGGAAAUAAUAAAUCAUACUAAACUUGUAGAUGUCAUAUAAUAGGAUAUAUUGGACAGGAGUUCAACUCUCCUCUACUCCACCA
rnacentral:tmRNA from 1 species